UCUGUGUGUUCUCUGGAUCUUUUCAGCCCUGUGGUCCAGUGUCCAUCACAGCCAUGCUGACUGGGUGACUGGAGACAGGGAUGAUGGAGAGUUCAGCAAGGGCUGGGCAGAGGAGGCUGGGGCCACCUCUGGAGGGUGUCCUGCUGUUCCUGUUGGCCCCAGCUGCACUCGCAGGGCCUUCCUGUGGCCCCUUUCCCCAUGCAGGGGCGGCCGCAGCUCUCACCCACUCUCUCCUGCAGACGGCGAGGGGACCGACCUGUUUGCCGUGGCUGUCCAUGAGUUUGGCCACGCCCUGGGCCUGGGCCACUCCUCAGCCCCCAACUCCAUUAUGAGGCCCUUCUACCAGGGUCCGGUGGGCGACCCUGACAAGUACCGCCUGUCUCAGGAUGACCGCGAUGGCCUGCAGCAACUCUAUGGGAAGGCGCCCCAAACCCCAUAUGACAAGCCCACAAGGAAACCCCUGGCUCCUCCGCCCCAGCCCCCGGCCUCGCCCACACACAGCCCAUCCUUCCCCAUCCCUGAUCGAUGUGAGGGCAAUUUUGACGCCAUCGCCAACAUCCGAGGGGAAACUUUCUUCUUCAAAGGCCCCUGGUUCUGGCGCCUCCAGCCCUCCGGACAGCUGGUGUCCCCGCGGCCCGCACGGCUGCACCGCUUCUGGGAGGGGCUGCCCGCCCAGGUGAGGGUGGUGCAGGCCGCCUAUGCUCGGCACC
rnacentral:sRNA from 1 species